AUUGAACGCUGGCGGCAGGCUUAACACAUGCAAGUCGAACGAGUGGCGGACGGGUGAGUAAUGCUCGGGAAUCUCGCAUAUGGAGGGGGAUAACUACGGGACACUGUCGCUAAUACCGAGUACCCUAGGAUGAGCCCAAGUGGGAAUAGGUAGUUGGUGAGGUAAAGGCUCACCAAGCCGACGAUCCCUAGCUGGUCUGAGAGGAUGACCAGCCACACUGGGACUGAGACACGGCCCAGACUCCUACGGGAGGCAGCAGUGGGGAAUAUUGCACAAUGGGGGCAAGCUGAUGCAGCCAUGCCGCGUGAAUGAAGAAGGCCUUAGGGUUGUAAAGUUCUGUCGGUAGCGAGGCGUUAACUACAGAAGAAGCACCGGCUAACUCCGUGCCAGCAGCCGCGGUAAUAC
rnacentral:rRNA from 1 species